UACGAAGGGCCCGAGCGUUAAUCGGAAUCACUGGGCUUAAAGCGUGCGUAGGCGGACCCGCAAGUGUCGUGUGAAAUCCCACUGCUUAACGGUGGAACUGCUCGGCAGACUGCGGGUCUUGAGCCCGUCAGAGGUCGUCGGAACGCUAGGUGGAGCGGUGAAAUGCGUAGAUAUCUAGCGGAACGCCAAAGGUGAAGACAGACGACUGGGACGGCGCUGACGCUGAGGCACGAAAGCGUGGGUAGCGAACGGG
rnacentral:rRNA from 1 species